CUACGUGCCAGCAGCCGCGGUAAUACGGAAGGUCCAAGCGUUAUCCGGAUUUAUUGGGUUUAAAGGGAGCGUAGGCUGGAGAUUAAGUGUGUUGUGAAAUGUAGACGCUCAACGUCUGAAUUGCAGCGCAUACUGGUUUCCUUGAGUACGCACAACGUUGGCGGAAUUCGUCGUGUAGCGGUGAAAUGCUUAGAUAUGACGAAGAACUCCGAUUGCGAAGGCAGCUGACGGGAGCGCAACUGACGCUUAAGCUCGAAGGUGCGGGUAUCAAACAGGAUUAGAUACCCUGGUAGUCCGCACAGUAAACGAUGGAUGCCCGCUGUUGGUACCUGGUAUCAGUGGCUAAGCGAAAGCAUUAAGCAUCCCACCUGGGGAGUACGCCGGCAACGGUGAAACUCAAAGGAAUUGACGGGGGCCCGCACAAGCGGUGGAGUAUGUGGUUUAAUUCGACGCAACGCGAAGAACCUUACCAGGUCUUGACAU
rnacentral:rRNA from 1 species